AAGUUGUAACAAGGUUUCCGUAGGUGAACCUGCGGAAGGAUCAUUAACAAAUCCAAUACUUGCGAGGAGGGGUGUAUUCCUCUCUAUUGCAAAUAUUAAUCCUCUAGCCUAUGCCUUUUACUGGGUGUAGGUUAGUAGAUAUAUAAAUGUGUGUAAUGUUGACAGUGUGUGAGAUAAUUUAAUUUAUUGACAACUUUUAACAAUGGAUCUCUAGGCUCUU
rnacentral:misc_RNA from 1 species